GACCCUUUCUAAUCCUGAAGGUGCCGUAUCUGCAGUUGCUAGUGGUGCAGCCGGUUUUCAAAAAGGGAACUGAAGAAACAACAUUUACUCCCAUUAUUAUGUUGGAUAAGAAAAGGGCAUCGAAUGUGAAUUAGCCAAAGACCUGGGAGAAGAGGUACGUUUAUGCCUGGUGCCUAAAGGUGAACAAUGAAGGCGCCAGGUGGGCCUCCCUGGGGAGAGCAUUCCACAAAGGGGAGCCACUGCAGAAAAGGCCUGUUCUGUGUUGCCACCUUCUGGACCUCUCAUGGAGGAGUAGAAAAGCCUGUGAAUUCAAACUUCCCAGUUAUAUCCUUUCUAGUAAACCAUAUUUUUGAGACUACAGAAAAUCCUUGAACUGAUUGAACUUUAUAGCAGGCAUCAUAAAGGAAGUUUCCAUACCUUUGG